UACGUAGGUGGCAAGCGUUGUCCGGAUUUAUUGGGUUUAAAGGGUGCGUAGGCGGCCCUGUAAGUCAGUGCUGAAAUAUCCCAGCUUAACUGGGAGGGUGGCAUUGAUACUGCGGGGCUAGAGUACAGAUGAGGUAGGCGGAAUUGACGGUGUAGCGGUGAAAUGCUUAGAUAUCAGGAGGAACACCGGUGGCGAAGGCGGCUACCUGGACAGAAACUGACGCUGAGGCACGAAAGCUAGGGGAGCAAACAGG
rnacentral:rRNA from 1 species